UUUAUAAUGCUCAAAGAAGGAAAGCGUUGGAAUAUAGCUAAAGAAAUUUACGAGACUGAAACUGCUUACACAGCUUGGCUUGCAAUAUUAAUAAAAUUUAGGGAUCAAAUCGAAGACAUAUUCGUAAUUCAGGAUGACUUUUGUUCAAAAGUCGAUAUCAAUAUAAUCUUCCAAAACGUAGAAGAACUUCGAAAGUUGUCUCUUAUACUUCAGCAGGCUCUUAAAGAAGAGCUUGAAGACUGGGAAAAUAGUGGCAUGAUUGGCCGCGUCUUCUUA